rnacentral:sRNA from 14 species
GUCAAUAACCCCACCCUAAGAGGAUGGAUGGGGCUUGGUAGACAACCAACUACCGUGAUUGACUAGACCAUUGAGCCGAAUCCUGGUAAGAACUUCCAGAUGCUUCCCCAGUCUGGAUCUCUUUA